ACGUACACUCCUACGGGAGGCAGCAGUGGGGAAUUUUACGCAAUGGGGGAAACCCUGACGUAGCGACACCGCGUGAGCGAAGAAGCCCUUUGGGGUGUAAAGCUCUGUCAGCUGGAACGAAAACAAUGACGGUACCAGCAGAGGAAGCAUCGGCUAACUACGUGCCAGCAGCCGCGGUAAGACGUAGGAUGCGAGCGUUGUCCGGAUUUAUUGGGCGUAAAGAGUUCGUAGGUGGUUUGUUAAGUUUGGUGUUAAAGAUCGGGGCUCAACCCUGGGACUGCACUGAAUACUGGCAGACUCGAGUGUGGUAGAGGCUAGUGGAAUUCCCAGUGUAGCGGUGAAAUGCGUAGAUAUUGGGAAGAACACCGGUGGCGUAGGCGACUAGCUGGGCCAUAACUGACGCUGAGGAACGAAAGCCAGGGGAGCGAAUGGGAUUAGAAACCCGAGUAGUCCCAU
rnacentral:rRNA from 1 species